AUACUGUCGCACCGCUUCAACCACACCUUUCAUAGAGUCAGGGACCGUGAAGACAUCCCCCUGAACGCUACAGGAGGGAGAUUCUAGAUCAACGCAUCCAUAUGGCGUGACGCACACCCCCCUCAUUCCCUGUACUGAGGCCCCUCCCAACGGACGCUCUGAAUGACCCUAUGAGGUACAACAUGACCUCUGAGGCCUCUCCCUGUAGACGUAGCGCUCGCCUGGAGCAGCCCGCUCGUGCCAAAACACAACAUCGGCCACGCCGGCGGCCAGCUGGCGCCCCUCGUCUGCUCUGCGGAGCACCAGGCCCCACUGAUCUGACACCAGUGGAGUGGUUCCCCUGAGGGAGACAGGAGGAAGGAGCAGCAGUAGCUCAGGAGGUAGAGCGGGUUGACUGGCAGCCUGAAGGUUGCUAGAUUGAUCCCCGGCUCCUCUUAACUGUGUUAGUGUCGAGGUGUCCCUGAGUAAGACGCCUCACCCUGACUGCUCCUGACAAGAUGGCUGUCGCGCUGUGUGGCUGACUCCGUCGUCGGUGUGUGAACGAAUGGUUGUAAGUCGUUUUGGAUAAAAGCGUCGAAUUCCCCUAAAUGUAAAUGAUACACGUCCACCGGUUGGAUUGGAACACACACUGGGCGACUCAACCCCUAACAUAAGCACAUCCUGAUGUUUGUGAUCCUUCUCUGUUGAAAUGAUCUUGUGGGGCGUACAGGCGAAAGCCUCCAGCAGCUGGCUAUUAUCUGCUUAAGAGACUUCAUGGGCCCUAACUUACAUCCAGCGCAAUUGACUUUCUACACUGACGCAUGUGUCGUUGCUAGUUUGCAACUGGCCAGAGUGUUCUUUUCCCUCCGCCGCCACUCGUCAAUAAAUUAGGGAAUGAUCUUGCUCCCAAAGGGGCGGUUCGGCGAAAAGAGGAGGCGUGUUCUGGCGCAAACGUUCCCUGGAGCUACUUUGCAGUUUCAGAAAACGGUUCCGCCACAAACCAGGAAAUACCUGGUUUAAAGUCAGUGGCACGAUUGAUGAGUAUUUGAUCAUGAGAAAACAUUGUUUUACCGCGAGUGAGUGUUAAAAAUAAUGAAUGAAUGCGGGUGCGCGUGUGUGUAUGUGUAAAAUAAUGAAUGAAUGCGGGCGCGCGUGUUUGCGUCCAUCUGUUUAAACACACGCAAACUAAACACGUAACGCAUAAUGCAGUCCAUGGCAAUGUAUAUUAACGGGGGGACCCAUGCAUAUUAGGAACACAAGUCAAUAACGAUAAUGCAUACAAUACUGGUAAGAAAUUAUGUUUGUUAAUGUAUUGCAUAUAUCAUUAAAUAGAACCACAGUUAACACAUAUCAUAUGUGUGUUCAGUUUUCUUCACCGAAAUGUAUUUGAGGACUCAGUAUUUCUGAAGUUGUGGAAGAAAAUGCUAUUCCAUGUGUGAAUUAGGCCAUAUUAUUUGGCCAUAAACUGAGCCAUUUGAAGUUUCAAAUUCAUGUGGUCAUGCAUCUGUCUCAUUGGAGACUGCAAACGCGCAUAAAAAAUUAUCAACUCGUCAGAUUAAAAUGCGCUCAUGGCUCUUAAAGGGGAUGGGAGAUGGCACUCUCAUUGGUUUAUUGCACUUCACGCCCAAACCACACCUACGGGUAAUAGGCUACUUCAGACCAACCCUUUUUAGAUUUGCGCCGGGCGCAAGAUUCAUUUAUCCGCCAGUAAAAUAGCAACAUCGCCAUUAAACCGCCCACAAAGAUACAUGCGUUUGGCACUUCUCACUUGCGUUUCAGACCGUUAAAAUA